rnacentral:tRNA from 1 species
GGUUCCUGCCUGGACUCUAACCAGGACUAGUGACCUGAAAAACCACCGUUGUAAUUCAACUACAAGAAC